rnacentral:lncRNA from 1 species
AAUGAGGGUUGGUUACUUGUGGGCACCAGGUCCGGGUCCGCUACCUUAACAGGCCGUUGAGUUACCAUGAUUUACAUUCCUCCAUCAAUCCUUGUCGGGCCAAGGGAUGGGGGCCGUGGGGGCGAGGGAUUUAGCCUUUUGGUGCAAGAAUGAAGUGGUGGUGGCCAUUGAAGCAAUUGAACCGGCAGCAAAGAAAGCACUGAGCCAUAUCCUCAAAACGAGCCCGGUUCAAGUACUCAAACAAAAUUAAGUAAAUUGAAACUCAAAACGCUGUGGACGGCUUCGGCGACGCAACACAACACGGAGGAGUGCCCAAGACCAACCUCACGCCACCUGAAAAAAAAAAGAGAGAGAAGCAGAUCUUACGCGACAGUCAAGAGAAGAGAAAGGGGAUGUGGCGGACGCAAAGAGAAAAGAGAGGAGCGGUAGCAGCGGCGAACGCACAAAGAUCGCACGGUGAUCGGUGGAGAGAGAGAGAAGGG